CUGUGUAACCAUACUGGCAGUUGAGAUCUAGAAUAUUUCAUCACCCUUAAAGGCUUCUUUGCAUCCCUGUUCUGUCAGCACCCACCCCUAGGAUACAACAAAUGAUUCCCAGAAGCUGGAAAACUUUAUUGGAGAAAUGAGCCUGACAGCAAGGGACCUAUAAGGGUCCAGGACACUUAAAAUCCACAUCUGCCAAUUUCAGCAGAUGACUUUUUCAGAUCCUGUUUCAGUCUGUGUGUGUGUGUGUGUGUGUGUGUGUGUGCACACAAAAAUGAGUGGGGAAAUAUGAACCUUGAUGGGAUAUUCGAUGACAUUAAGAAUUAAAGUAAUUUUUUAGAUGUGAUGGUGGUAUUGUUAUUUGGUUAAAAAUAUCUUGUUUUUGGCCAGGCGCGGUGGCUCCUGCCUAUAAUCCCAGCACUUUGGGAGGUGGAGGCGGGCGGAUCACAAGGUUAAGAGAUCGAGACCAUCCUGGCCAACAUGGUGAAACCCCAUCUCUACUAAAGAUACAAACAUUGGCCGGGCGCGGUGGCUCGUGCCUGUAAUCCCAGCACUUCGGGAGGCCGAGGCAGGUGGAUCACCUGAGGUCAGGAGUUCGAGACCAGCCUCAACAUGGAGAGACCCUGUCUCUACUAAAAAUACAAAAUUAGCCGGGCGUGUUGGUACAUGCCUGUAAUCCCAGCUACUCGGGAGGCUGAGGCAGGGGAAUUGCUUGAACCUGGGAGGCGGAGGUUGCGGUGAGCCGAGAUCGUGCCAUUGCACUCCAGCCUGGGCAACAAGAGCGAAACUCCGUCUCAAAAAAAAAAUAAAUAAUAAAAAAAAAAAAAAAUAAAGAUACAAAAACUAGCUGGGCAUGGUGGCGUGCACCUGUAGUCUCAGCUACUCAGGAGGCUGAGGCAGGAGAAUUGCUUGAACCCAGGAGGUGGAGGUUGCACUGAGCCAAGAUUGCACCACUGCCCUCCAGCCUGGUGACAGAGCAAGACUCCAUCUAAAAAAAAAAAGAAAAAGAAAAAAUCUUGUUUUUGAAGAUAAAUGGCAGUAUUUGCAGAUUAAAUUACAUGAUGUUUGGGAUUUGCUUCAAAUAGUUUCGGGGGAGGGAUGAGCUUAGUGGGUGGGAAUAUGGAAGAAACAAGAUUACCCGUGAAUGGAGAAUUGUUGAAACUGGGUUUAUUACACUCUGGCCUCUCUUUUUGUGUACGUUUGAAGUUUACCAAAACAAAAACUUUUUAAAAAUUCCUUCAUCUAAUAACACAAACCCUCCCAAAUAUUAGGUACUACUUGAAAAAUGAAUAAACUAAAGAAUAAACUCAUGUUUGUAAGAUUUUAAAUUUCCAAUCACAAGUCUAAAUUACUCAGCUACAUAUUUUGAAGUGGAGCCCUGAGACAAAUCAUCUUAAACAU
rnacentral:lncRNA from 1 species